GCCCCUCGGACGCCCGCGCCCCGUGUUCGAAUCCAAUUCCAAUUCCGUGCGGAAUCUGGCGUCGCUUCUUCUUCCUCCCGGCGAACGCCUUCCAAUUCCGGCGCCCCGCCUCUGGCUCCCCCGCAGCCUCGCCGCCUCCGGCCGUGGCCGCCACCGAGACCACCGCAGCAGACUCGACGACCUCCGCAACAAUCCCCUGCGCCGACUGCGGGCCACGCCUCCAUGCUUGACAACAGCCGACGCCGGACAACGCCUCUCCCUCCUCCGCUCCGGCCGCCUCCUUCCCUCCUCGUCCUCCAGAUCCGGCGAGGGAAAAGGGGUGGGGGCCACCCUGUCCACGCUCGCGACGCCUCCCUCGAGCUCCUCCCGACCCUAACACUAGGCGCCGCCUCCGCACCGCCGCCGUGCUUGUCGGCUGGAUCCACGCCGGCGCACGGCGGCCGCGGCACCGCGGCGGAUGGGGGCUUGCCCGGCCCUGAGACGCGGGGGCGGAGCUGGGCGUGGGAGGGCGUGAGACGGGGAUGCGGCCGGCGCUGAGCCGCCGACUCUCCUCUCUUUUUCCUUUUUUUCCUCCCCUCCAUUCUUUUUUUCUCACCGAGACCAUCGGCAUCGCGGGCACUAAGGCUGGCGCCCAGAUCUCCUGCGCUGCCAUCUCCCCCUCCCUCCACGCUCGCGCGCGCCGCCCGCCACGGCCGCCCGCGCCAGGCACCACCGCACGCUCCGGCGUACCCGCGGCGGCAACUCCUUGCUGGCCCGCGCCGCUCGCCGCGGCCGCCCUCGCCCGCGCCAAGUGCCACCGCGCGCUCCGGCGUACGCGCGGGGAGCGCCGCUCGCCCGUGCCGGGCGGCGCGGAGGCUGAAGCGGUCGAGCGCGAGCUGGUGCCAGCACCGCGCAUAACGCGUGGAGGGGCGCGCCGAGCACCAACGGGCCCACCUUGGCCUCCCCUCUCUUUUCCUUCUUCAACCAGCGGCAGCGCGUCCUUCGGCUUCGGCUUCGACUCUGGCGCUCCUCCGCCGCCCCGCCGCCGGCCCGUCGACCAGUACGUGUCCCAGAGAUGCGGACUCCGCCGCCGUCCCCGAAGGCGCGGACGCCGCCGGAGACGCGGCCGCCGCCGCCGUCCUCGGAGAAGCGCACGCAACUGCCCGUCGACCAGUACUUGUCGCCAGAGACGCGGACGUCACCGUCGUCCCCGGAGAUGCGUCCCCAGAAGCGCGGACACCGCUGACGUCGUCGAUGGCACGCCGUCGCCCGCCGACGAGUCGACCAGUGUAGAAAUUGUUCGGACAAGGUGAAACUAUUGAGAGCGCAAUAACUUUUUUUCUCCUCUGUAAGAAAUUUGUGUCCUAAUCUCUUUGUCGGUAGAAUUGCAGAUUUUCAGCUCCUCUGGGACAAGUCAAUUUGUCUUGACUCUCAGAGGUGACAGAGAGGCGGACAUGGGCGCGACGCUGCGGGAAUUUGAUAUAUGUGCUAUAUAAUGUCAGGGACAAGUCAAUGUGUCUCUUGAGCUGCUCCAUGUGUUGCAAUUAAAUUAUACUUGGUGGCCAAUAUUUCAUCAGUACUCUUUGAGAUGUUUAAUUACAAUCUUACAAUGCCAGAGGUAAUGCCAUAUUUCAUCAUUCCUAAAUAUUUCAUCAGUUCUUGCCUAGGUGUUUAAUUUAUGUUCAUGUUUGUUGACGGUGAGUUAUACUACAACAGCAGCUUUCCCAAUUUAAGGUAAUUUGAGAUGUUAACUUAUUUUGCCCAUAGCUAUCUGAUUGCCUCUUGAUUUACUUAUGAUUGGGAUUUGGAGAUGGUGGAAGGUGGAGUCCUGGGAAGAGUUUGUGACUUUCUCUAGGCAAAGAUAAUGAGCUGUGCUAUGCUUGCAGUGAUAUAUGAUAGGGAAAAAUGUGCUUGCAUUCAUGGUUAAUAAACGAUCUUUCAUUUGUAGGGACAUGAAUAGUUUAAACAAAUAGUAUAUCAUCUUAUCGACGCAGUUUUCAUGGUUACAAUAAUAGUUGGUGUUACAUCUAUAAUUCUCAGUAAGCAGUUUAAUCUAUAUAUCUUAUAUAGAUAGCACCCACUAACUAUUUAUCUCUUCAUGCAAAGUGUCCACCUCAUUCUCCACUAAGUGUCCCACUAACUUUCGACAUGUCAUCUCUACAAUAUGCAAUACUUUUAAUCAUAUACAUACUCUAUUUUUUCAUCACCUAUUCUUCUAUAAUGUGAUCAAAUAUUCUAUUGGUGUUUCUUCUUUUAGCUCAUCGAUUUUUACGAGAUUCAAUAAACAAGAAAAUGUCCAUAUGACCUCUACUAUGUGCAAUACUUUUAAUCUUUAAUCUAUUAAUGUAAAGUCAUAUACAUACUCUAUUUUUGCAAUACUUUUAAUGUUUAAUCUAUUAACGUAAAGACCUAUAUACAUACUCUAUUUCUUUGAGCACCUAUUCUUUUAUAAUGUGAUCAAAUAUUCUAUUGAUGUUACUUCUGUUAGUUUAUCGAUUUCUACCAGAUCCUGAUAAAAAAUAACAUGCAAGUAAAAUUCAUAUCACCUAUAUAGCCUAUAUAGAUGACACCCACUAAAGUCAUUAACUCUAUUUCUCUUAACAUGCAAGUUAUCCGGAUCAUAUAGGAACCCAUUAUAUCAAAUGUCACAUCAACGUCCACUAGAGCCAUCUAUUUAUGUUUUCCAUCAUUUUUUUGUGAAUGUUGCCAUGCAAUCAUCUUAAUUUUUCUACUUUCAAAUUUCACGUUAAAAUUUUAUUUAAGAAAUCCCGCAGCAACGCGCGGGGUAUCACCUAGUGAGGAUUUAGAUGCCUUCACCUGACCUGGUAUGUUUCUAGAAAUUAAGACAAAUAUAUAAUUUUGCAGUGCUAUAAGAAAUGCUUUGCUGUGAUAGAAUUUUUUUACUUUCUGUCAGUAGUCUUGGCUAUGUUUGAGUAAAUCAAAAUAGUAUGAAAAAACAGACCCUAUUUCUUAAUAGCUGUGGAGACGCUAUCUUUGCAGGAGGUACAUCCUUGGCUGCUAUCAGCACUUAUUGGCUUUCUGGCUUGCACGCAUAGUACUACUUCCAUUGUUCAUGACUUCAUUGAACAAGGGUUCAAAGGGGACAAACUUCUAUAUAGACUAGGCUUUAGGGUCGAAUAAUGCAUCUUCCUGAUUUGCUGCAUUAUUCAAAUCAUCAGGAUGAAUGGUUAAAUUUCCCUAAUAUGUGUACAGCAGAGCUAGCACGCCUCGAUUGGCAUCAUGGAAAAGGACAGACCCAGUGCUGGUGAUUGGCAUCAUGGAGCUUUCAAAAAUUGCCCCACAAUCCAAAGUUUGUGGCUUCUAGAGUAUCUAAUAUAACUUAAGCUUCUACAGUAUCUUUUAUGCAAUAGUAACAUCAUAAGAAUUUGGUAAUGAGGUCUCACCGAUGCAUUUUGUUUUUAGUAGACAUAGGCAUGAUUCAUCAUGAUCUUCCACAUUAGGAACUUGGGUAUCUGUUGAAAAGUUUUUUGUGGAACACACACUUUGCCAUUCGUCAACUUUUAUUGACUUCUAUGGGAACAACAAUACUAUCUGAACCUUAGGUAUCACAGGUUCACUUGGUGAUGCAUGCCAUUGUGAAUGUUAUUCUAUGCUUUUAGCUACAAAGGGCACACUUUGCCAUUCUGUGCUUUUAGCUACAACCACUAAAAAAUAUUGUAGCUAGAUAAAUUAAUUCCCUCAGUUGUUUCACCAUGUCUUUCAGAUUUUUAUAUGGUUUUCUCUGAAUAACAGCAAAUUGCAUAACUAACUGUUUUCUAAGUUCUGGUUAUAUUAAGAAUAUCUUUUUAUGGCUUUGCUGUCCUGUAUAUCCUAUUGAGAUCACAAGCUUCAAGACACUAUUGAUGAAUACAUGGACACCUUGAUUUGGCAAGGAAAAAAGAUUAGUCACGGAUGGGAACCUUGCAUCGAGAGGGAAACAUUUUUGUGAUUGAAAAAAAUUGGGGCUGGUUCAUUUUGUCGAGGAGAUUACUUGUGGUGGUUGCAAAUUCAUUUUUUCAGAAAAUUCAUUAGGCAUAGGGAGGUAGAUUGGUUUGUUCACAUGAGACUGAAGUUUGAUAUAUAUGUAUGGAGCUUUGCUUUGCAGAGGCAGAUGGCCCUCAAUUGAGUUGUAGUGUAGAGUUGGGAACUAUAUUUGUGAAAAUUUUGUUUGUGUGAAAAGUGUCCAUAUAUAAGUGUGAGAUGAAUUUCAGAUUACCUGUUAUGGAUGAAACAUUGGUAUGGUUUUGAGUAGUCCAGAGUUAUACUGAGCUGAGAAGUUUUAGUUGUUUA